rnacentral:rRNA from 1 species
UACGGAGGGGGCUAGCGUUGUUCGGAAUUACUGGGCGUAAAGCGCACGUAGGCGGCUUUGUAAGUUAGAGGUGAAAGCCCAGGGCUUAACCCUGGAAUUGCCUUUAAGACUGCAUCGCUAGAAUCGUGGAGAGGUGAGUGGAAUUCCGAGUGUAGAGGUGAAAUUCGUAGAUAUUCGGAAGAACUCCAGUGGCGAAGGCGACUUACUGGACACAUAUUGACGCUGAGGUGCGAAAGCGUGGGGAGCAAACAGG